AGCGGCGGACGGGUGAGUAACACGUGGAUAACCUACCUAUAAGACUGGGAUAACUUCGGGAAACCGGAGCUAAUACCGGAUAAUAUAUUGAACCGCAUGGUUCAAUAGUGAAAGACGGUUUUGCUGUCACUUAUAGAUGGAUCCGCGCCGCAUUAGCUAGUUGGUAAGGUAACGGCUUACCAAGGCAACGAUGCGUAGCCGACCUGAGAGGGUGAUCGGCCACACUGGAACUGAGACACGGUCCAGACUCCUACGGGAGGCAGCAGUAGGGAAUCUUCCGCAAUGGGCGAAAGCCUGACGGAGCAACGCCGCGUGAGUGAUGAAGGUCUUCGGAUCGUAAAACUCUGUUAUUAGGGAAGAACAAAUGUGUAAGUAACUAUGCACGUCUUGACGGUACCUAAUCAGAAAGCCACGGCUAACUACGUGCCAGCAGCCGCGGUAAUACGUAGGUGGCAAGCGUUAUCCGGAAUUAUUGGGCGUAAAGCGCGCGUAGGCGGUUUUUUAAGUCUGAUGUGAAAGCCCACGGCUCAACCGUGGAGGGUCAUUGGAAACUGGAAAACUUGAGUGCAGAAGAGGAAAGUGGAAUUCCAUGUGUAGCGGUGAAAUGCGCAGA
rnacentral:rRNA from 1 species